GAUGAACGCUAGCGAUAGGCUUAACACAUGCAAGUCGAGGGGCAGCGAGGGUAGCAAUACCUGUCGGCGACCGGCGCACGGGUGAGUAACGCGUAUGUAACCUGCCCGCAACAGGGGGAUAACCCGGCGAAAGUCGGACUAAUACCGCAUAAAACAGGGGUCCCGCAUGGGAAUAUUUGUUAAAGAUUUAUCGGUUGCGGAUGGGCAUGCGUACCAUUAGGUAGUUGGUGAGGUAACGGCUCACCAAGCCUUCGAUGGUUAGGGGUUCUGAGAGGAAGGUCCCCCACACGGGUACUGAGACACGGACCAGACUCCUACGGGAGGCAGCAGUGAGGAAGAUUGGUCAAUGGGAGAGAGCCUGAACCAGCCAAGUCGCGUGAAGGAUGACUGCCCUAUGGGUUGUAAACUUCUUUUACAAGGGAAUAAAAUGAGAUACGUGUAUUUUAUUGCAUGUACCGUGGGAAUAAGCAUCGGCUAACUCCGUG
rnacentral:rRNA from 1 species